CCAAUAGCGUAUAUUAAAGUUGUUGCAGUUAAAAAGCUCGUAGUUGAACCUUAGGCCCGUGCGGGCGGUCCGUCCUCUGGGCGAGCACUGCUUCGUCGCGGGUCUCACCUUCUGGCGAGCGUGGAUGCCAUUUAUUUGGUGUCCGCGGGAACCAGGACCUUUACCUUGAAAAAAUUAGAGUGCUCAAAGCGGGCUCCGACGCUUGAAUACAUUAGCAUGGAAUAAUGAAAUAGGACGAUGGUUCUAUUUUGUUGGUUUCCGGGACCUUUGUAAUGAUUAAUAGGGAUAGUUGGGGGCAUUCGUAUUCAAUUGUCAGAGGUGAAAUUCUUGGAUUUAUUGAAGACGAACUACUGCGAAAGCAUUUGCCAAGGAUGUUUUCAUUAAUCAAGAACGAAAGUUGGGGGAUCGAAGACGAUCAGAUACCGUCGUAGUCUCAACCAUAAACUAUGCCGACUGGGAAUCGGGCGAUGUUACUUUUCUGACUCGCUCGGCGCCCCGAG
rnacentral:rRNA from 1 species